UCCCUGGUGACCUAGUGGUUAAGGAUGUGGUAUUGUCACUGCUAUGGCUCAGGUUAGAUCCUGGCCAAGGAA
rnacentral:tRNA from 1 species